GAUGAACGCUGGCGGCGUGCCUAACACAUGCAAGUCGAGCGAUUUACUUCGGUGAAGAGCGGCGGACGGGUGAGUAACGCGUGGGUAACCUGCCCUGUACACACGGAUAACAUACUGAAAGGCAUGCUAAUACAGGAUAACAUAAGAGAGUCGCACGGCUUUCUUAUCAAAGCUUUUGCGGUACAGGAUGGACCCGCGUCUGAUUAGCUAGUUGGUAAGGUAACGGCUUACCAAGGCGACGAUCAGUAGCCGACCCGAGAGGGUGAUCGGCCACAUUGGAACUGAGACACGGUCCAAGCUCCUACGGGAGGCAGCAGUGGGGAAUAUUGCACAAUGGGCGAAAGCCUGAUGCAGCAACGCCGCGUGAGCGAUGAAGGCCUUCGGGUCGUAAAGCUCUGUCCUCAAGGAAGAUAAUGACGGUACUUGAGGAGGAAGCCCCGGCUAACUACGUGCCAGCAGCCGCGGUAA
rnacentral:rRNA from 1 species